CAUUGACUUCCAAAAUCUAAUCAGUUCAUCCUUAAGUCCCAGUGGAUGUUGGUGCCAAAUUUGAAGAAAUUCUUUUAUUUUUAAGAUAUUGC